rnacentral:rRNA from 1 species
UUUUCGGAUGGAAGCUGGAUUGACUGAGUGGCGGACGGGUGAGUAACGCGUGGAUAACCUGCCUCACACUGGGGGAUAACAGUUAGAAAUGACUGCUAAUACCGCAUAAGCGCACGCUACCGCAUGGUAGCGUGUGAAAAACUCCGGUGGUGUGAGAUGGAUCCGCGUCUGAUUAGCCAGUUGGCGGGGUAACGGCCCACCAAAGCGACGAUCAGUAGCCGACCUGAGAGGGUGACCGGCCACAUUGGAACUGAGACACGGUCCAAACUCC